rnacentral:rRNA from 1 species
UACGUAGGGCGCAAGCGUUGUCCGGAAUCACUGGGCGUAAAGGGCGCGUAGGCGGGAUGGCAAGUCGGUCGUGAAAUCUCUCGGCUCAACCGAGAAACGUCGGCCGAUACUGCCGUUCUUGAGGGAUGCAGAGGAGACUGGAAUUCCCGGUGUAGCGGUGAAAUGUGUAGAGAUCGGGAGGAACACCGGUGGCGAAGGCGGGUCUCUGGGCAUUUCCUGACGCUGAGGCGCGAAAGCGUGGGGAGCAAACGGG